rnacentral:rRNA from 1 species
GACGAACCGUGCGAACGUUGUUCGGAAUCACUGGGCUUAAAGGGCGCGUAGGCGGGCUGCCAAGUCUGGGGUGAAAUCCCACGGCUCAACCGUGGAACUGCCCCGGAUACUGGCGGCCUCGAGGGGGUAGGGCGUGCGGAACUGUGGGUGGAGCGGUGAAAUGACGUUGAUAUCCACAGGAACUCCGGUGGCGAAGGCGGCACGCUGGACCUUUUCUGACGCUGAGGCGCGAAAGCCAGGGGAGCAAACGGG